rnacentral:rRNA from 1 species
UAGGGAAUCUUCCACAAUGGACGCAAGUCUGAUGGAGCAACGCCGCGUGAGUGAAGAAGGUCUUCGGAUCGUAAACUACUGUUGUUAGAGAAGAACACGAGUGAGAGUAACUGUUCAUUCGAUGACGGUAUCUAACCAGCAAGUCACGGCUAACUACGUGCCAG